rnacentral:rRNA from 1 species
GACGAACCGUGCGAACGUUAUUCGGAAUCACUGGGCUUAAAGCGCGUGUAGGCGGGCCGGCACGUCGGUCGCUGAAAUCCCCCGGCUCAACCGGGGAAGGGCGCCGAUACGGCCGGCCUGGAGGGACGUAGGGGGGGGGCUGGAACUUCCGGUGGAGCGGUGAAAUGCGUUGAGAUCGGAAGGAACACCCGUGGCGAAGGCGGGUCUCUGGACAGUUCCUGACGCUGAGGCACGAAGGUCAGGGGAGCAAACGGG